rnacentral:rRNA from 1 species
GCAGCCUGAUGCAGCAACGCCGCGUGAGGGACGACGGCCUUCGGGUUGUAAACCUCUUUUGGCAGGGAAGAAGCGAAAGUGACGGUACCUGCAGAAAAAGCACCGGCUAACUACGUGCCAGCAGCCGCGGUAAUACGUAGGGUGCAAGCGUUGUCCGGAAUUAUUGGGCGUAAAGAGCUCGUAGGCGGUUUGUCGCGUCUGCUGUGAAAACGCGAGGCUCAACCUCGCGCCUGCAGUGGGUACGGGCAGACUAGAGUGUGGUAGGGGAGAUUGGAAUUCCUGGUGUAGCGGUGGAAUGCGCAGAUAUCAGGAGGAACACCGAUGGCGAAGGCAGAUCUCUGGGCCAUUACUGACGCUGAGGAGCGAAAGCGUGGGGAGCGAACAGGAUUAGAUACCCUGGUAGUCCACGCCGUAAACGUUGGGAACUAGAUGUGGGGUCCAUUCCACGGAUUCCGUGUCGCAGCUAACGCAUUAAGUUCCCCGCCUGGGGAGUACGGCCGCAAGGCUAAAACUCAAAGGAAUUGACGGGGGCCCGCACAAGCGGCGGAGCAUGCGGAUUAAUUCGAUGCAACGCGAAGAACCUUACCAAGGCUUGACAUGCACCUGAAAAGGCUGGAAACAGUCUCCUCGCAAGACA